rnacentral:rRNA from 1 species
GGGUUGUGAGGUUAAGCGACUAAGCGUACACGGUGGAUGCCCUGGCAGUCAGAGGCGAUGAAGGGCGUGCUAAUCUGCGAUAAGCGCCGGUAAGGUGAUAUGAACCGUUAUAACCGGCGAUACCCGAAUGGGGAAACCCAGUGUGAUUCGUCACACUAUCAUUAACUGAAUCCAUAGGUUAAUGAGGCGAACCGGGGGAACUGAAACAUCUAAGUACCCCGAGGAAAAGAAAUCAACCGAGAUUCCCCCAGUAGCGGCGAGCGAACGGGGAGGAGCCCAGAGCCUGAAUCAGCAUGUGUGUUAGUGGAAGCGUCUGGAAAGGCGCGCGAUACAGGGUGACAGCCCCGUACACAAAAGCGCAUGUGCUGUGAGCUCGAUGAGUAGGGCGGGACACGUGGUAUCCUGUCUGAAUAUGGGGGGACCAUCCUCCAAGGCUAAAUACUCCUGACUGACCGAUAGUGAACCAGUACCGUGAGGGAAAGGCGAAAAGAACCCCGGCGAGGGGAGUGAAAAAGAACCUGAAACCGUGUACGUACAAGCAGUGGGAGCGCAGGUUUACCUGUGUGACUGCGUACCUUUUGUAUAAUGGGUCAGCGACUUAUAUUCUGUAGCAAGGUUAACCGAAUAGGGGAGCCGGAGGGAAACCGAGUCUUAAUUGGGCGUUAAGUUGCAGGGUAUAGACCCGAAACCCGGUGAUCUAGCCAUGGGCAGGUUGAAGGUUGGGUAACACUAACUGGAGGACCGAACCGACUAAUGUUGAAAAAUUAGCGGAUGACCUGUGGCUGGGGGUGAAAGGCCAAUCAAACCGGGAGAUAGCUGGUUCUCCCCGAAAGCUAUUUAGGUAGCGCCUCGUGAAUUCAUCUCCGGGGGUAGAGCACUGUUUCGGCUAGGGGGCCAUCCCGGCUUACCAACCCGAUGCAAACUGCGAAUACCGGAGAAUGUUAUCACGGGAGACACACGGCGGGUGCUAACGUCCGUCGUGAAGAGGGAAACAACCCAGACCGCCAGCUAAGGUCCCAAAGUCAUGGUUAAGUGGGAAACGAUGUGGGAAGGCCCAGACAGCCAGGAUGUUGGCUUAGAAGCAGCCAUCAUUUAAAGAAAGCGUAAUAGCUCACUGGUCGAGUCGGCCUGCGCGGAAGAUGUAACGGGGCUAAACCAUG